rnacentral:rRNA from 1 species
GAGUUUGAUCAUGGCUCAGAUUGAACGCUGGCGGCAUGCCUUACACAUGCAAGUCGAGCGGCAGCGCGGGGGCAACCCUGGCGGCGAGCGGCGAACGGGUGAGUAAUGCAUCGGAACGUGUCCUCUUGUGGGGGAUAACCAGUCGAAAGACUGGCUAAUACCGCAUGAGCUCGAGAGAGGAAAGCAGGGGACCCGCAAGGGCCUUGCGCGAGAGGAGCGGCCGAUGUCGGAUUAGCUAGUUGGCGGGGUAAAGGCCCACCAAGGCGACGAUCCGUAGCUGGUCUGAGAGGACGACCAGCCACACUGGGACUGAGACACGGCCCAGACUCCUACGGGAGGCAGCAGUGGGGAAUUUUGGACAAUGGGCGAAAGCCUGAUCCAGCCAUGCCGCGUGUGUGAGAAGGCC